rnacentral:SRP_RNA from 2 species
ACCAGCCCCUCGUGCGGCGCGUAACCUGUGAACCUCCCCAGGGCCGGAAGGCAGCAAGGAUAAGCGGGCUCUGGCGGGUGCACGGGGGGUCCUUCUU